AGCGCGAAAAACAAACUUCAAAGUAGCGCUACGCGUUCAGUGGGAGGCGUGGAUGACGAGCGGCGAUAAACUUGCGAAAAGCAAGUUAUGCUCAACUCCACCAGUGGAUUCUGACAGCGUGGAAAAGUGUGAAAACAUCCACGAUCACCAACGGAUUUCGAAGGGCUGGACUGCUGCAUGAUGGAGAGGAGGACACCGCCACGGCCCUUCUGAGGGUGUUCGACUCCGACACUGACAACGAGGAUUUGUUUGGUUUUGAAAGUGACAAUGAAGGAAAAAAGCUGAGAAUGGAUGACGUAGCCAUCCUGAGCCUGUUCGUAUCCGACACUGGAGAAGAGGACUUUGGUGGUUUUAGUGCGCAGGAAGAUGGUGGUGAAUGACUGACUUUUCUUCUUGUUAAAGCCGUGUCACUGCACCUGAGCCUAAAAGUUUCCCAGCAUGCCUCAGGUGUGAAGGUGUAUGAGGGGGUGAAGUCUGUCCUGCUGCCCUGUCAGGUACCAGCUGAUGUUUCCAGGAGCUCCACAGCAGUAGUGUGGGACUACGAUGAGUUCGACAACCCAACAGUCCACGUGCGUCUGCAGAGUGGAGAUGGGCUUAGAGGUCAAAACAAUCGUUACACCAACCGAACAUCAAUGAGAGCCGACGCUCUGCAGACUGGAGACCUCAGCCUUACUCUGAGGAACCCUACUUUCUCUGACAGUGGUAACUACACCUGCAUCAUCAAAAAAAAUAAACAACAGCUGAGCCGGACAAAAGUACAGCUGAGGGUCAAAGAACCUCCACUCUGGCCCUGGGUCCUCGCAGUUACACUGCUUAUCCUGGUUCUCGUGAUUGUUGCCUUUGGCGUCAUCCUGUAUUGUGAACGUAAAAGAUUUAAGGCUGUAGAAGCUCAACUUCUUAGUGAGCGAUUGCUGAGACGUCUUCACGUGCUGUUUGGAAAAAGAUGACUCCUUUCCUUUGAUGGAAAAUUGCACAGUUUGAUGGGGCUGUUGGUCCGAAUGAAGAACAAGGAGCUGAUGGAUGAGGAGAAGACGAUGAAGCUCACACCUCCGCCCUGACAAGAUCAUGUAUAUUUCUGCUGCUCAGUGAAGCUCGGUGACGGUCUGAGAACACGAGCUUGAAGAUGUCUGUUCUUCUUUUACUAACUGCUAACUAAUGAGCCUCAGAGAGAUGUUCUACCUGGAACAUGUUCCACACGGCAGGUUCCCUGUAACGUUAUGUCUGCAGAAUGAGAUUAAGCACAGAGGACAGAGUGUGAGAGGAAGAGGUUCACCAGUGUGACAGUAAAGAUUCAUUCAAACAUUCACACCAGGCUCAGACUCUUUCUCUAACCUUAUAACCUCAUAAUCAUGAUGAUCCAGAGCGUGUUGUUCCUCAGACCAAAGCUGCUGUCAGGAACCAUCAGAGAAGAUCAGCUUGCAGAGAAGAAUAUUAUGUCUGUCAUGAUUAAAUAGGAAGUCGUCCCAAAGGACAGCAGACUGAAACUUGAUUAAUAUAAACUGACUUGUAUUUAUGCAGCAGCAAAUCCAAAACAUAGAGGGAAAACAGAAAAUCAAAAAUCCAAACUACAGCAGCAAGAAACAAAAGAAUCAGACCAAACAGCUUAGCCUGACAAAGAUUUAACAGGAAAAUGUGACACAGGUGAGAAGGCUCAAACUAAUGAGACAGAGGGAAACUAAACACAAUGCACAAACUACACAGUCUACGAAGUCAAACAGGAGGAAAGAGAACACAGGGACGCUGAGACAGAAGAGCAAACUACCAAAGACUGACUUCACCUGUGACACUAAAGGAUCAAACAUAGACGAGACAGGGACAGAUAUGGAGACACAGAGGCAAGAAAAAUAUAUAAAAUAUGUAUAAAAAUAUAAUGAAAUCAGAAAAUGCAACAAAAAGACAAAUGUGAAAACGCUGGGUCAACAAUUCAGGAACCAUGACAGUGUCAGUACUGCUCCGUGGACCGGCUCACUUUAUUGUCUGCUUCAUCUCCACAUGAAACCUAUGUGCUCAUGAAUUGUGCUUUUUAAUUCUUCCAUUGGAUAUUUUUGACGAAGCUGAUGGUGUCUGAGCUGUUUCUCUUCUUCAUCUUAAUAAGAACAGAUUAUCUGAGGGCUUCAGGUCAGGAGAGCUGGCCAACCGACCAAACGCUGUAAUAAGCUUUUGCUUUAGUGUGUCUGUGAGCAGCUUUUUAAUAAAGACUGAAUGAAAAGUGGAGUCAGUUUGAUUUGUGCACACGAACAUCACAGACCCCCAUCUGGGCUCAGAACGUCCAAUCAGAGCACGAGAAACG